UCUCUUGGUUAUUUCUUAGGAAACACUGGUUUGAGGCGACCCUUCCUAUCCUUCCUCCCACUCCCAUACCUUCUCUACCCAAGUGCUUUGGUGCUUGAAAUGCCCCCAUUAUAGAAUUGUAGACAGUUUGGACUGGAAGGAAGCCUGUCCAUCCCUUCACUUUAUAACCUGCUCCAAAGGCAAUCUCUCCUUCUCUCUCUCUCUCUGUCUCUCUGUCUCUCUGUCUCUCUCUGCCUCUCUCUGUCUCCCUAUGUCUCCCUCUCCCUCUCUCUCUCCUCUCUCUCUCCUUCUCUCUCUCUUUUUUCCCUUUCUUUUUAAUUCCAUUGUAAAGGAUAGCUUCCUAAGGAAGGGAAGAAAGGAAGAUAUAUUGGGAAAUGUAGGUGGUAUAAAAAUAAAGCAUAUCCAUAAAAAUGAAAAAUGAAAAAUGAAAAAAUAAUCUUAUCCUAUCCAUAGUGGCAAAAGAUAAAUCAAUCCAUUUUUUCCUUCCAGUUACUUAUGAUAUGACCUUUUAUAUUUAGGCCAAAUGUCUAUUUGGAAAUUACUGUGAUAUGUAUGUAUAUAAACCUAUUUUUUGCUAAAAUACAGUUUUCUCUCACUAUAUGGUGGUUCACUUAUCGCAGCUUCACUGUAUUGAGGGUUUUUAAAAAAAUAAUCUCAUUCUGUAUCGCAGAAUUUUCACUAUAUUGCAUGUUUCUGUGAAUGAAUAACAUACUGUACGCAAUGGAAAUGCAGUGUGCCACUAUGGUUUGCACAAGUUUGCCAAUAUGAGAUCAUACACAACUGAGCACAGAGUGGGAAUUUCUGUAUUGGCUGAUGGAAUGAAAGGGGACCAACCAUAGCGCUGUGUUCUGUAUCCUGGGUGCUGCUUGACUCAGUGUUUAUAAGAGUGUGGGAAAGGUUAAUAAGUAUGGAAAAGGUUUAUAGGAGAGUAGGAAGGGUUUAUAAAGCCUUAAUAUGUAUAUAAAUGAUAAAAUAAAUAUAAAUAAACAGUAUAAAAUAUAAAAAUU
rnacentral:lncRNA from 1 species